rnacentral:lncRNA from 1 species
CAGAGUAUCACUUUAUGAGGACUUUCUUUUCCUUAUUGAAACGUCAAGAAAUCUCUUCCUUCUCAAGCAGAGCUUUCUUCUGGUUGGUGUCUCUACUGAUUUCGUCCCUUGUUUGGUUCAUGGCAAGAGUCAUUAUUGACAACAAAGAUGGACCAACACAGAAAUAUCUGCUGAUCUUUGGAGCGUUUGUCUCUGUCUAUAUCCAAGAAAUGUUCCGAUUUGCAUAUUAUAAACUCUUAAA